rnacentral:rRNA from 1 species
CUAUACAUGCAGUCGAGCGGACAGAAGGGAGCUUGCUCCCGGAUGUUAGCGGCGGACGGGUGAGUAACACGUGGGUAACCUGCCUGUAAGACUGGGAUAACUCCGGGAAACCGGAGCUAAUACCGGAUAGUUCCUUGAACCGCAUGGUUCAAGGAUGAAAGACGGUUUCGGCUGUCACUUACAGAUGGACCCGCGGCGCAUUAGCUAGUUGGUGGGGUAAUGGCUCACCAAGGCGACGAUGCGUAGCCGACCUGAGAGGGUGAUCGGCCACACUGGGACUGAGACACGGCCCAGACUCCUACGGGAGGCAGCAGUAGGGAAUCUUCCGCAAUGGACGAAAGUCUGACGGAGCAACGCCGCGUGAGUGAUGAAGGUUUUCGGAUCGUAAAGCUCUGUUGUUAGGGAAGAACAAGUGCGAGAGUAACUGCUCGCACCUUGACGGUACCUAACCAGAAAGCCACGGCUAACUACGUGCCAGCAGCCGCGGUAAUACGUAGGUGGCAAGCGUUGUCCGGAAUUAUUGGGCGUAAAGGGCUCGCAGGCGGUUUCUUAAGUCUGAUGUGAAAGCCCCCGGCUCAACCGGGGAGGGUCAUUGGAAACUGGGAAACUUGAGUGCAGAAGAGGAGAGUGGAAUUCCACGUGUAGCGGUGAAAUGCGUAGAGAUGUGGAGGAACACCAGUGGCGAAGGCGACUCUCUGGUCUGUAACUGACGCUGAGGAGCGAAAGCGUGGGGAGCGAACAGGAUUAGAUACCCUGGUAGUCCACGCCGUAAACGAUGAGUGCUAAGUGUUAGGGGGUUUCCGCCCCUUAGUGCUGCAGCUAACGCAUUAAGCACUCCGCCUGGGGAGUACGGUCGCAAGACUGAAACUCAAAGGAAUUGACGGGGGCCCGCACAAGCGGUGGAGCAUGUGGUUUAAUUCGAAGCAACGCGAAGAACCUUACCAGGUCUUGACAUCCUCUGACAACCCUAGAGAUAGGGCUUUCCCUUCGGGGACAGAGUGACAGGUGGUGCAUGGUUGUCGUCAGCUCGUGUCGUGAGAUGUUGGGUUAAGUCCCGCAACGAGCGCAACCCUUGAUCUUAGUUGCCAGCAUUCAGUUGGGCACUCUAAGGUGACUGCCGGUGACAANNCCGAAGAAAGGUGGGGAUGACGUCAAAUCAUCAUGNCCCCUUAUGACCUGG